rnacentral:snoRNA from 1 species
AGACCAUGAUAUGGGCACUUUCGGAGCAUAUGUUUGUAUCUUUCCCAUGCUUCAUACACAGACUCAUUAUCGAAUUGUGUGAAGGUGGUGAUGUCAUUCCUUAGCUU